rnacentral:rRNA from 1 species
UACGAAGGGGGCUAGCGUUGCUCGGAAUGACUGGGCGUAAAGGGCGCGUAGGCGGUUUGCACAGUCAGGCGUGAAAUUCCUGGGCUUAACCUGGGGGCUGCGCUUGAUACGUGUGGACUGGAGUGCGGAAGAGGGUCGUGGAAUUCCCAGUGUAGAGGUGAAAUUCGUAGAUAUUGGGAAGAACACCCGUGGCGAAGGCGGCUCUCUGGGACGGUACUGACGCUGAGACGCGAAAGCGUGGGGAGCGAACAGG